rnacentral:rRNA from 1 species
AGAGUUUGAUCAUGGCUCAGAUUGAACGCUGGCGGCAGGCCUAACACAUGCAAGUCGAGCGGUAGCACAAGAGAGCUUGCUCUCUGGGUGACGAGCGGCGGACGGGUGAGUAAUGUCUGGGGAACUGCCUGAUGGAGGGGGAUAACUACUGGAAACGGUAGCUAAUACCGCAUAACGUCUUCGGACCAAAGUGGGGGACCUUCGGGCCUCACGCCAUCAGAUGUGCCCAGAUGGGAUUAGCUAGUAGGUGGGGUAAUGGCUCACCUAGGCGACGAUCCCUAGCUGGUCUGAGAGGAUGACCAGCCACACUGGAACUGAGACACGGUCCAGACUCCUACGGGAGGCAGCAGUGGGGAAUAUUGCACAAUGGGCGCAAGCCUGAUGCAGCCAUGCCGCGUGUGUGAAGAAGGCCUUCGGGUUGUAAAGCACUUUCAGCGAGGAGGAAGGGUAGUGUGUUAAUAGCACAUUGCAUUGACGUUACUCGCAGAAGAAGCACCGGCUAACUCCGUGCCAGCAGCCGCGGUAAUACGGAGGGUGCAAGCGUUAAUCGGAAUUACUGGGCGUAAAGCGCACGCAGGCGGUUUGUUAAGUCAGAUGUGAAAUCCCCGCGCUUAACGUGGGAACUGCAUUUGAAACUGGCAAGCUAGAGUCUUGUAGAGGGGGGUAGAAUUCCAGGUGUAGCGGUGAAAUGCGUAGAGAUCUGGAGGAAUACCGGUGGCGAAGGCGGCCCCCUGGACAAAGACUGACGCUCAGGUGCGAAAGCGUGGGGAGCAAACAGGAUUAGAUACCCCGGUAGUCCAA